UGGGGAAUCUUGUACAAUGGGGGCAACCCUGAUGCAGCGACGCCGCGUGAGCGAUGAAGCCCUUCGGGGCGUAAAGCUCUUUCGACCGGAACGAUAAUGACGGUACCGGGAGAAGAAGCUGCGGCUAACUACGUGCCAGCAGCCGCGGUAAUACGUAGGCAGCAAGCGUUGUUCGGAGUUACUGGGCGUAAAGAGUGCGUAGGCGGUUUUCUAAGUUCGGUGUGAAAUCUCCCGGCUUAACUGGGAGGGUGCGCCGAAGACUGGGAAGCUGGAGUGUGGGAAAGGCAGGCGGAAUUCCUGGUGUAGCGGUGAAAUGCGUAGAUAUCAGGAGGAACACCGGCGGUGUAGACGGCUUGCUAGACCAUAACUGACGCUGAGGCACGAAAGCGUGGGUAGCAAACA
rnacentral:rRNA from 1 species